rnacentral:lncRNA from 1 species
UGGGCUUUGUGUUUACAUCAAUGACGCGUGGUGCCGUGAUACUGUUGUGAUCAGCAAACACUGCUCACCCCUGGUGGAGUUUAUGAUUAUUAAAUGCCGGCCGUUCUAUCUGCCGAGGGAAUAUACUGCUAUACUGCUCAUUUCGGUGUACAUUCCCCCAUUCAACAUCAUCAGCAACAGGAACGACGCACUAAAUGAACUGUACCAGCACAUCAAUGAGCAGCAGACAGCACACCCCGAUGCUUUUCUCAUCAUAGCUGGGGAUUUCAACCAUGCUGACCUUAAGAGUGUGUUUCCAAAAAUACACCAGCACAUCAACUUUCCAACACGAGGUAAUAACAUCUUGGACUUUGUUUACACCACACAGAGAGGAGCUUACAAAGCCCUCCCCCUCCCCCACCUCGGAGCCUCAGACCACAUCGUUGUUAUGCUAAUGCUUGCAUACAGACCACUCAUUAAAGUUGCCAAACCAGUUUACAAACAGUUUAAAGUGUUGCCAGAAGGAUCAUCAGAGAUUCUUCAGGAGUGCUUCAACACAACUGACUGUGACAUGUUUAAACAGUCUGCCACAUGCAAUAACACCACUGAGUACUCAGAGACUGUUACUGCCUACAUCAAUAAGUGUAUUGAUGAUGUAACGGUCACAAAAACCAUCACUGUCCGGGCCAACCAGAAUCCAUGGAUGACAGGGGAGGUCUACAGACUCCUGAAGACACAGAACGCUGCCUUCAGAGCUGGAGAUGAGGUGGGCCUGAGAACAGCUAGGGCCAACCUGUCCCGUGGCAUCAGAGAGGCUAAGAGACAGCACUCCAGGAGGAUAUCUCACCAAUUCAGCAACAGCAGAGACACUAGGAACCUGUGGCAGGGGAUGCAGACCAUUACGGACUACAAGCCCCCACCACGGACCUGUGACAACAACAUCUCUCUGCUAAAUGAACUGAACACCUUCUUCGCUUGCUUUGAGCAACAAAACAGCACCACUGCACAGAAGACUCCACCUCCUCCCGGUGACCAGGUGAUGACGCUGACCCCAGACAGCGUGAAGAGAUCCUUCAGCAGGAUCAAUGCCCGCAAAGCUCCGGGUCCUGAAAACAUCCCUG